AAAUUGAAGAGUUUGAUCAUGGCUCAGAUUGAACGCUGGCGGCAGGCCUAACACAUGCAAGUCGAACGGUAACAGGAAGCAGCUUGCUGCUUCGCUGACGAGUGGCGGACGGGUGAGUAAUGUCUGGGAAACUGCCUGAUGGAGGGGGAUAACUACUGGAAACGGUAGCUAAUACCGCAUAAUGUCGCAAGACCAAAGAGGGGGACCUUCGGGCCUCUUGCCAUCGGAUGUGCCCAGAUGGGAUUAGCUUGUUGGUGGGGUAACGGCUCACCAAGGCGACGAUCCCUAGCUGGUCUGAGAGGAUGACCAGCCACACUGGAACUGAGACACGGUCCAGACUCCUACGGGAGGCAGCAGUGGGGAAUAUUGCACAAUGGGCGCAA
rnacentral:rRNA from 1 species